rnacentral:rRNA from 1 species
GACGUAGGGCGCGAGCGUUGUCCUGAUUUAUUGGGCGUAAAGAGCUCGUAGGCGGCUUGUUGCGUCGGCUGUGAAAACCCGCGGCUUAACCGUGGGCUUGCAGCCGAUACGGGCAGGCUAGAGUUCGGUAGGGGAGACUGGAAUUCCAGGUGUAGCGGUGAAAUGCGUAGAUAUCUGGAGGAACACCGGUGGCGAAGGCGGCAUCCUGGACCGACACUGACGCUGAGGAGCGAAAGCCAGGGGAGCAAACGGG